GGGAAAGUUCUCCUGAUUCCUAGGGGAUUUCCAGGCUCUGAGCUUGCUGCUGCUACUCUCAUGUGCAUGCUUGGUUUGCAGAGCCCAAUGGGGGCUCUGCUCAUCUGUCCAAUAUGGGCCUGAAAAUGUUGAGCAGAGUGCAGUUUUUGCAAAUCUCAUCAAGGGAUGUCUUCAAUAUGAAUGGAUUGGUGCAAAGUAAUUUUAUCCUACUCUCUUGGCUUCCUGGAGUUAGCCCUUGACUGACAUGUUUUCGCUCUCUUCUUCUUCUUGUGGCUGCUUCAGCUGCAAUAGCAGGUCAGAUUUGGCUUAGAGAGAAGGUGGCACUGGAUUGCAACCAAAUUGCAAACCUUCUGAAAGGCGGUAUGGCUCUGUCACAUAAUAUGUGAUGCUUUCACUAACUUGCUGACCACACAUGACCUUGGGCAGAAAUGUGCCUUCAGUGGAGUAACUGGUUCAGCAUGGGCCUUAAUGCUUGGUAAAGCAGGUGCUGAAAGACACAGGACAAUAUCAAAGAUUCUUGCCCCCAAAAUAGUGAACACAAUGGCAUGCUUUUGUUCUGUAUCUUCUAUUUUAUUUGCUUCCAUGGAAUAAACUAGC